rnacentral:rRNA from 1 species
GCUUACGGCCACACCGGCCUGAGUACACCUUGAUCUCGUCGAUCUCGGAGCUAAGCAGGGUCGGGCCUGGUUAGUACUUGGAUGGGAGACCGCCUGGGAAUACCAGGUGCUGUAAGCU